rnacentral:rRNA from 1 species
CGGUUACCACGGAGUGGUCAAUGACUGGGGUGAAGUCGUAACAAGGUAGCCCUAGGGGAACCUGGGGCUGGAUCACCUCCUUAAACGAA